AACAUCGCGCACCUGCGGGAACCUGCGGAGGGAUCAUUACAGAGUUGCAAAACUCCCUAAACCAUUGUGAACGUUACCUAAACCGUUGCUUCGGCGGGCGGCCCGGGUCCUUCCCGGCGCCCCUCGGCCCUCGCGGGCGCCCGCCGGAGGUAAACCAAACUAUUGCAUUGUAUGGCCUCUCUGAGUCUUCUGUACUGAAUAAGUCAAAACUUUCAACAAUGGAUCUCAGAUCGGAAGAGC
rnacentral:misc_RNA from 1 species